CCUACGGGUGGCUGCAGUCGAGGAUCUUCGGCAAUGGGCGCAAGCCUGACCGAGCGACGCCGCGUGCGGGAUGAAGGCCUUCGGGUUGUAAACCGCUGUCAGGGGGGAUGAAAUCAUGGUGGGUACUCCCAUCAUGUUGACAGAGCCCCAGAGGAAGCGCGGGCUAAGUUCGUGCCAGCAGCCGCGGUAAUACGAACUGCGCGAACGUUAUUCGGAAUCACUGGGCUGACAGGAUCGAUAGUAGGCAGCGAAAUGCCUUGGAUCAAGCAAGGCACAGCGCGCUAAACUACUUUGCUUGAGUGAGUCAGGGGUGCACGGAACUUCCGGUGGAGCGGUGAAAUGUGUUGAUAUCGGAAGGAACACCGGCGGCGAAAGCGGUGCACUGGGGCUUAACUGACACUGAGGCACGAAAGCCAGGGGAGCGAACGGGAUUAGAUACCCCUGUAGUC
rnacentral:rRNA from 1 species